rnacentral:rRNA from 1 species
UACGUAGGGGGCAAGCGUUGUCCGGAAUCAUUGGGCGUAAAGCGCGCGUAGGCGGCCAGAUAAGUCCGGUGUGAAAGUCACAGGCUCAACCUGUGAAUGCCGCUGGAAACUGUCUGGCUAGAGUCCGGAAGGGGCGAGUGGAAUUCCUGGUGUAGCGGUGAAAUGCGCAGAUAUCAGGAAGAACACCAAUGGCGAAGGCAGCUCUCUGGGACGGUACUGACGCUGAGACGCGAAAGCGUGGGGAGCGAACAGG